UAUACCCAUUCAUACGGUUCAUUUAUCACAGUUGAAACGUAUCUGCUCGUCUAUGACCGAUAUUACGUCAUUUCGGCAACAAGGUAGUCUAAGUCUGAGAACAUGUAACAUGUCUCACGUCUAUCUUAUACAUAUGAAACGAUGAAUCAUAAGAGUAUGCGCGCAUACGCGCGUAUAACUCCAUACGUAUACGUGUACCACGUAUGCGGAUACCGCACACGCGGUAUCCUGCGCGUCAUCGCAAAAUGUGACCGAGUUGCGUUAAUUCAAUUUCCUGGGAUUUUCGGGUGUUUUUAGUAUUUCGCGUUAUGUAAUUUUACUAUACGUGCGAGUAAUAAUGUGAUUUACGACGAAACGCUUCACAUUUAUUUACGAAUCUUUGGGCAAUAAGUGUGUUUAUUUUUAAAACGGAUUUAUCGUUUUACGAAGUGAAAGGCUUUUAGUGAUCGAUUAAUAUUAUUGAUUUUAUUGAUUAAAAAAUAGCGAUGCUGAGGUCUGAAUUAUUUUUCGUGAAACAGUAAAGGGAGUGUAACAAAAUAAAUCACACAGCACUGACUUCACAGAUGGAUGGAGCUUGGCAUGACACAUAUAAUUAUGUUUCCUGUACACUUUUGUAUGUGUAUGAUUUACUGCUUCUCUAGCCGCGUUACUAGUUCAUUAGCAUCUUUUAUACAUUUAGGGCGUACGCGUGAACAUUAAGUAUUCUUUUAUCGCAAAGCAUGUUUGUCGGAGCAACCGCAGCUGAGAAAAGAUCUCGCAAGACAUAAAGAAAAACUCAUUCAAGAGCAGGAUGAAUCGAAGUGCAUCAAUGAAUCCCCAUGAAGAGUAGCUGUUUUCAAAAUGAGAGUCUAAAAGAUUAGCAGCGUAAAAAAUCAACAGCUAAACUAGUGUUCAAUGAAGUGAACCUGAAAGAAGAACUGAAAUGUUUCACAAUUGUGCUUCAUGCGAAGCUUAAGAGUGCAACAAUUUUUGUCUUGCUGACAAAUCUUUCUAGACGUUGGAAACAAUCUGCUAAGGAAAUCUACACUUUUCAUUUAUUAUCGUGAAUAUUUAUAAAACUAUAAAAUAUACCAGAACAAUUCUAGAAUAUCGUUGUAUUUUUAAAUAUUAAAUUAAAUUUGAGAAUUAAA